GGACCCAUGGUGUAAAAGUAGCACAGGGAACUCAUAAUUCCUCGGCGUAGGGGCGGUACCUACUGGGUCCA
rnacentral:tRNA from 2 species